rnacentral:rRNA from 1 species
AAUAGAUACCCUGGUAGUCCACACCGUAAACGUUGGGCGCUAGGUGUGGGUCUCAUUCCACGAGAUCCGUGCCGCAGCUAACGCAUUAAGCGCCCCGCCUGGGGAGUACGGCCGCAAGGCUAAACUCAAAGGAAUUGACGGGGGCCCGCACAAGCGGCGGAGCAUGCGGAUUAAUUCGAUGCAACGCGAAGAACCUUACCUAGGUUUGACAUAUACGAGAAGCCUCUAGAGAUAGAGGUCUCUUUGGACACUCGUAUACAGGUGGUGCAUGGCUGUCGUCAGCUCGUGUCGUGAGAUGUUGGGUUAAGUCCCGCAACGAGCGCAACCCUCGUCUUAUGUUGCCAGCACGUAAUGGUGGGGACUCAUAAGAGACUGCCGGGGUCAACUCGGAGGAAGGUGGGGAUGACGUCAAGUCAUCAUGCCCCUUAUGCCUAGGGCUUCACGCAUGCUACAAUGGCCGGUACAAAGGGCUGCGAUACCGCAAGGUGGAGCGAAUCCCAAAAAGCCGGUCUCAGUUCGGAUUGGGGU